rnacentral:rRNA from 1 species
GAUGAACGCUGGCGGCGUGCCUAAUACAUGCAAGUCGAGCGAACGGACGAGAAGCUUGCUUCUCUGAUGUUAGCGGCGGACGGGUGAGUAACACGUGGAUAACCUACCUAUAAGACUGGGAUAACUUCGGGAAACCGGAGCUAAUACCGGAUAAUAUUUUGAACCGCAUGGUUCAAAAGUGAAAGACGGUCUUGCUGUCACUUAUAGAUGGAUCCGCGCUGCAUUAGCUAGUUGGUAAGGUAACGGCUUACCAAGGCAACGAUGCAUAGUCGACCUGAGAGGGUGAUCGGCCACACUGGAACUGAGACACGGUCCAGACUCCUACGGGAGGCAGCAGUAGGGAAUCUUCCGCAAUGGGCGAAAGCCUGACGGAGCAACGCCGCGUGAGUGAUGAAGGUCUUCGGAUCGUAAAACUCUGUUAGUAGGGAAGAACAUAUGUGUAAGUAACUGUGCACAUCUUGACGGUACCUAAUCAGAAAGCCACGGCUAACUACGUG